rnacentral:rRNA from 1 species
UACGUAGGGGGCUAGCGUUGUCCGGAAUCAUUGGGCGUAAAGCGCGUGUAGGCGGUUCGGUAAGUCCGCUGUGAAAGUCGGGGGCUCAACCCUCGAAAGCCGGUGGAAACUGUCGGGCUAGAGUACGGAAGAGGCGAGUGGAAUUCCUGGUGUAGCGGUGAAAUGCGCAGAUAUCAGGAGGAACACCUAUUGCGAAGGCAGCUCGCUGGGACGUUACUGACGCUGAGACGCGAAAGCGUGGGGAGCAAACAGG